GCGCCUCCCAGCCAUGACGGAGGCGCGGCGUACAGCUCAGUACCACGUGGCUAACCUGCCCUCGGGACGGGAAUACCCCCGGGAAACUGGGGCUAAUCCCCGAUAGGUGAAGAACUCUGGAAUGAUUCUCCGCCCAAAAGACGCUUAAAUCAUGCUUUUAUGCGCCGUCCAAGGAUGGGGCCCCGACCGAUCAGGUAGUUGGUGAGGCAACGGCUCACCAAGCCUUUAACCGGUGCGGGCCGUGGGAGCGGAAUCCCGGAGAUGGGCACUGACACAAGGGCCCAGGCCCUACGGGGCGCAGCAGUCGCGAAAACUUUGCAAUACACGAAUGUGUGACAAGGCUAUCCCGAGUGCCAUCCGUUGAGGAAAGUCUUUUACCCACUAUACAAAGCUGGGAGAAUAAUGAGAGGGCAAGCCUGGUGUCAGCCGCCGUGGUAAUACCAGCUCUCCGAGUGGUGUGGAUGUUU
rnacentral:rRNA from 1 species